rnacentral:lncRNA from 1 species
GGGGGCACUUGGCGGGGCUUGGCAGGGCUCAGCCGUGGGCAGAGCUGGCCCCAGGUCCUGAUGUGUCCCUGUUCCCCGCAGGGUGACAGCCCUGACCCAGACUGUGUGGGCGAUCCCGGGCUGCCAGGCACUCCGGGCAUCCCCGGCGAGAGAGGCGAGCAGGGCUCACCGGGACUGCGGGGACCCCCAGGACCACCCGGGCCCAUCGGCCCCCCAGGCUUUCCUGGAACGCCUGGCGCACCCGGACUGCCCGGUCUCCAGGGGGAACGCGGCCCUGCCGGGCUCGCUGGAGCCAAAGGGGAGCCGGGACCCCCCGGGCAGCCUGGCUACCCCGGUGCGACGGGCCCCCCCGGCCUUCCCGGCAUCAAAGGUGAGCGAGGCUACGUGGGUCCCCCUGGAGAGAAAGGGGAACUGGUGAGUCCCUCGGGGCCGUGCUUCAGGGACAGAGGGGCUGGGGCUCUCCGAGGUGCCCCCCCUCUCCGUGUGCACUGGGGCUGAGGU